AUUGAACGCUGGCGGCAUGCUUUACACAUGCAAGUCGAACGGCAGCGCGGGGCAACCUGGCGGCGAGUGGCGAACGGGUGAGUAAUAUAUCGGAACGUACCCAGAAGUGGGGGAUAACGUAGCGAAAGUUACGCUAAUACCGCAUACGAUCUACGGAUGAAAGUGGGGGACCUUCGGGCCUCAUGCUUGUGGAGCGGCCGAUAUCUGAUUAGCUAGUUGGUAGGGUAAAGGCCUACCAAGGCGACGAUCAGUAGCUGGUCUGAGAGGACGACCAGCCACACUGGGACUGAGACACGGCCCAGACUCCUACGGGAGGCAGCAGUGGGGAAUGUUGGACAAUGGGCGCAAGCCUGAUCCAGCAAUGCCGCGUGAGUGAAGAAGGCCUUCGGGUCGUAAAGCUCUUUUGUCAGGGAAGAAACGGCGAUUUCUAAUAAAGAUUGCUAAUGACGGUACCUGAAGAAUAAGCACCGGCUAACUACGUGCCAGCCGCCGCAGUAA
rnacentral:rRNA from 1 species